CGGGUUGGAGGGGGAGCGCUCACGGGUGCACUGCCGCUGCCAUUCACCCUUCCACCCACGAACGACCCUUACCUCCGCACGACCCGCCGCCAGGGCUUUAUGGCGAGGCAGGCUCAAGUGGCAGCGGGGUCCAGGACUUCUGUCCCAGGAAAUACACAUGCUGAUGGGCCAGUUCCCGGCUGACGCCCCCUGGGACGUGAUUUUGUAGACACUGGGAGUCACAUCUGCAAGCCCGAGAGAGGAGGAAGUGAUUGGGGGCUCUCUAGGUGAGGCUAAAUUGAAUAAUGCCCAGACAUAAUGAGAAUGCGCAAGGUCAGGUUGGAGGCCACACAAGGUCACAGGAAGACUCACCAGCUGCCAAGUAGUCGGUCACCAAUCCUCAGGCAUGUCACAUGAAGCCACAGGCAGCCACAUGGAAUCACAGGUGCCUUCCGAGGACUCAGGCAGGGAUGGUUAUGUGUGUGGUACAUGAGAGUUCAGGUUCCUUAGCUAUGAUAACCUGCUAAAAAGCCACCAAGUUGCUGAUGGUGUUGGAAUCCCUCUGUCUGGGAACAAAAGGAGGAAGCCUGAUUCUGCGAUUUUCCAAAAGAAUAAAGCAUUCAGGACCCACUAGGUCUCCAGCACCGAGGACAGCGCUCAGGCAGUCUAGCCCUCUCUAUAGGCAGCCAGGCACUAACUGAGAUCAGGACCUGGACCAGGAGAAAGAGGGUGAGAAACCAGACAACAGACAUCAGGAAGCAAGGGUGGAUAGAUGGGCGGAUCUUCUUCCUCUCCACCAUGAAGCUCUUCCUCUCUUCAGACCCAGAAACAGCCAAGCGACUAUGGACUGAGACCUCUGAAACUAUGAUCCAAGAUAGAACUUUAAGUUGAUAUUUCUCAGGCAUUUUGUCAGAGUGGCAGAAACUUGACACCAGCCAUCCAAGUUGAUCAAAGGAUACCAGCUGCAGCAAUGGCUCUGGUUCUAUCACGGCGUUGAUGCCUUGGAGAGACCUCUGCCCUUUUCUGUCUCCAUUGAUGCAAAUAGAUACUGGUCUAGAGACUUCUGGUACCAAGCAACAAUUUGUUGCCUUUUCAUCAUCACAGUUGAGUGACAAGCCUCUGUGUCUACACCAGCCUUCAUCUCCUUGUACGUUCUGCAGAUGGCCAUGAGAAACAGCCUAAGAUGGAUGGGAUCUGAUGAUCUUGCAUGUAGAAUAUCUGAGUCAUGACCCCUUGGUAUCUGUAAGUCUGAAAGGUGUUUUCAGUUCUGGGGAUGGAGCCCAGGGCUUCACAUAUACUAGGCCAAGUGUUCUAUUACUCAGAAGCAUCCAUAGCCAUUCCUAUCAGUUCUGAACAUAUUUUGAUAAUUUCCCACAUUAUAAGUACCUCUUUCUGGUGGGACCCAGAAAACUCACUUUUCCAGCCUUCCUUGAAUCCAGGAAUGGGUAAGUGAAUUAGAUUGUGCCAAUGAAAUAUGUCUUCCUGAGCCUCUGAUCCAAAAAUCAGGAAUGAGUGGGAGAAAACCCUGCCCAUGGCAUCCAUCUUGCUGGCAGGAAAGUAGCAAAGUAAUGGAUGGUGUGUGACUGUGGGAGCUGUUCUUGUAAAGUUAAGGCUCUUUUUUUUUGAAUCUCCCAUAAAUGCUAUGAGCUAUACAACAAUUUUCAGUAAGUUCUUUUUAUGCUAAAAGAAAGGAGUCCGAAUGGAUUUGGUGUUGUGCACAGCCAUGAACUCAGUUUGUCUCCCUCAUUGCCCCAUUGCUCAAGCUCUUUACAGCCCUUGAAAGCUUGUGGCUACAUAGCUAAGCUCACAGCAUGAUACAUGCCUGGUCCCUCACACAGUCUCACUGUGGAAAUGAAAGUUCUGGCUGGUAAGGCUUGAUGAGACGGGGUCUCACUAUGUAGCCUUGGCUGCCUUGAAACUCACUCUGUAGAACAGGCUACUCUCAAACUCACGGAGACCCACCUGCCUCUGCCUCCCCAGUGCUGGGAGUGCAAGCAUAUGCACUACCAUGUUUAGCUCUUGGCUAAACUCUUGAAACUCAGUGAAGAAUCCCCUGAGAAGAGGGAUUCUUCAUCCCUGGCAAUCUUGUCUCCUUACAAUAUCCAGGAGGAUAACUAUAUGUUUU